CACCCAGCACCAGUGACCCCGCCAAACAGUCGGGUGUGACAGCUACAGCUGCCUGCUGCAAUGGCAGACUGAAGUGCCACGUAGUCCAGUCACAUUUUCUACGUGGAAGACGUGCGCACGUCACGUGCCCUCCAAACUACAUUAUGACCGGCUGCAACGCCUUUUCUGUUGAUGGAAAAUACAGAGGAGCCUUCACGGAAAGAGGUAUCUCUGUGUGCACUGCAGUCAGUGAGACAGGUGUAGGAGUCACAGCCUACGCCACGUGCUGCAUAGCGGGAUGAAGAUGACGCACGACAGUCACCAUGACGACCGCAGACGCGCGGCAAAACGCUCGUACAGCCUCGACUUAAUAUUCCAACAUUUUCUCUAAGAUGUUUUGUUGCUUAGAACAAGAUAGAAGACAGCAGUCGUGACCAUUGUGUUGAUCAGCAAAUAUAAAGAUGUUAAUCUGUCAGUCCCUUUGAGAUCCUAUGUGAACCGUUAACUUGUACCCUUUAGACCUCAGGGACAUGAUCACAAAGGCCACACUGACUGACAACUACUGAUGUUGCUUUGUUUACCUCAAUGACAUGAUCAUAAAAGUCACUAUGACUGUUGUUUAUUAAUGUUGAUUUUGUUUCUCAUCUUGCCUACUGUACUUUUCCUGUUGCUGUUAAUAAAGAAAAACAGU